rnacentral:rRNA from 1 species
UGGGGAAUUUUGGACAAUGGGCGAAAGCCUGAUCCAGCAAUGCCGCGUGUGUGAAGAAGGCCUUCGGGUUGUAAAGCACUUUUGUCCGGAAAGAAAUCCUUGGCUCUAAUACAGUCGGGGGAUGACGGUACCGGAAGAAUAAGCACCGGCUAACUACGUGCCAGCAGCCGCGGUAAUACGUAGGGUGCAAGCGUUAAUCGGAAUUACUGGGCGUAAAGCGUGCGCAGGCGGUUUGCUAAGACCGAUGUGAAAUCCCCGGGCUCAACCUGGGAACUGCAUUGGUGACUGGCAGGCUAGAGUAUGGCAGAGGGGGGUAGAAUUCCACGUGUAGCAGUGAAAUGCGUAGAGAUGUGGAGGAAUACCGAUGGCGAAGGCAGCCCCCCUGGGCCAAUACUGACGCUCAUGCACGAAAGCGUGGGGAGCAAACAGGAUUAGAUACCCUGGGUAGUCCACGCCCCUAAACGAUGUCAACUAGUUGUUGGGGAUUCAUUUCCUUAGUAACGUAGCUAACGCGUGAAGUUGACCGCCUGGGGAGUACGGUCGCAAGAUUAAAACUUAAAGGAAUUGACGGGGUCAUAGCUGUUUCCU